rnacentral:rRNA from 1 species
UCCUACUGUCUCCCUACUCCAAUCAGUGAAACUGCUCUCUCCGUGAAGAAGCGGGGAUACAAAUAUAAGACGAGAAGACCCCAUGGAGCUUUAAACCCAACGACACCCAUUUUCUUUAUACCCUAGUAUUCAUUUGGCUAUGUUUGAUUGGUUUUAGGUUGGGGUGACCACGGAGCAUAAAAUAACCUCCACGAAGAAGAGACUAAUAAUCUUUAUCAAAGAAGUACACUUCUAAGAAUUAACAAAUUAAUUUCCAAUGAUCCGAUAUUCGAUCAACGAACCAAGUUACCCUGGGGAUAACAGCGCAAUCCACCUCAAGAGCUCCUAUCGACAGGUGGGUUUACGACCUCGAUGUUGGAUCAGGAUAUCCCAGUGGUGUAGCAGCUACUAAAGGUUCGUUUGUUCAACGAUUAAAAUCCU